AUGCAUCCCAUUGCAUCCCACUGUAAACCUGCUGCAUCCCACUGCAACGCACUGCAACUCUGCUGCAUCCCACUGCAUCCCACUGUAAACCUGCUGCAUCCCACUGCAUCCCCCAGCAAUCCUGUUGCACCCCACUGCAUCCCACUGCAACCCUGCUGCAUCUCACUGCAUCCCACUGCAACCCACUUGUUACCCCACAGUAUCCCCACAACAACCCUGUCGCACCCCACUACAACCCUGUUGCAUCCCAUUGCAACCCUGUUGCAUUUCUACUGUGCACCCACUGCAUCCACUGCAACCACACUGCACUGCCUCCCUACAGCCCUGCACCCCAGGGAAGGGCAAUGCCAAGCACAGGAUGCAAUGCUUUCUGCUGGGCUUUGCCUGUCCUGCAGUCCCAGCAGGACUGGGGGAACUGAUGCACUGCCCCAGGCACUGCUCCUCGGAGCAGCGUGUGAAAUGAAGCAGCAUUUAAUUACCCAGCACGUCGGUCGUUUGCAAAGCUGUCAGGAUAACCACCCGUCCAUCCCCUGGGACAUGCAGCCAUGCUCAGAGCUCAGUGCAGAGCAGCAGUCUGGGACAGCAGGGCCUGCACACUGCAAGGAGCACCCAUGGGCCAUAUCUGUCUGCAAUAAGCAAUGGGUUUGCCCUGCAGCAGGAGGGUGCCCCGGGGAUCUACUCCUCUCCAACAUGGGGUACAAAAUGGGUUUGCACAUGGGGAGCUGUGCAGGCAGCCCCAUAGAGCUGCCCUGCAGUUGCAGCACAGAGCUGCUGCCUCUCCCAAAGCCUCAUAUUUCUUUUUUUCCUCCUCAAUUAAGGGCUGGAGUGACAGCAUCCGAGUGGAAAGGCGGGAGGUGGCAAACAAUGCCUGCAGACGGGCUGGGAGGGGAAAGGAGCAGCGUGGUGCCCCACAGCACACGGCCAUGCCCUGCAGCACCGGGAUGGGGGUCUGCACCAGGACAUGGAGCAGGGGAAGGGGGCUCAGAGCUGCAGCCCCCCUGGCCGUUUCAUCCCCCCACAGGCAGCAAUGGGGCAGAGGCAGAGCAGUGGGAACAGCAUGGAGGACAAUAG
rnacentral:lncRNA from 1 species